AACGAACGCUGGCGGCAGGCCUAACACAUGCAAGUCGAGCGAGGACUUCGGUCCUAGCGGCGGACGGGUGAGUAACGCGUGGGAACGUGCCCUUUGCUUCGGAAUAGCCCUGGGAAACUGGGAGUAAUACCGGAUGAGCCCUUUGGGGGAAAGAUUUAUCGACGAAGGAUCGGCCCGCGUUGGAUUAGGUAGUUGGUGGGGUAAUGGCCUACCAAGCCGACGAUCCAUAGCUGGUUGGAGAGGAUGAUCAGCCACACUGGGACUGAGACACGGCCCAGACUCCUACGGGAGGCAGCAGUGGGGAAUCUUAGACAAUGGGGGAAACCCUGAUCUAGCCAUGCCGCGUGAGCGAUGAAGGCCUUAGGGUUGUAAAGCUCUUUCAGCUGGGAAGAUAAUGACGGUACCAGCAGAAGAAGCCCCGGCUAACUCCGUG
rnacentral:rRNA from 1 species